AUGUCUGCACUCUCCCAACACAGAACACAUUCCAGCAUGCUGGAAAUCAUUUAUGCAUCUGCCAUGAAGUACCUGGAAGAAGGAAAGAGCCUGAAUCGGAGCUGCCUUAUCAGGCACCAACAGAAUCACAAAUCGAGGCUCACGGCUUAAAAGAACCAACAAGAAAAAUGAGACUGGAUUUGGAAAGGAGAUGGAAAUCUUGUACCUCUCACAAAACUAAGAAACCAUGGCAAAUGUCACGUCCUCACUGAAAAUUUCUGAAAGUAUAGGAAGUCAACUACUCAAGCAGUGCCUGCUAUCACUGCAGAAGACAUAAACAUAAAGAAUAUUUUCCUAAUUGCUAUGGACCACUUCAGUGGGGUGAGUGUAGCAGGUGUGGCAUUGCCAAUUCCACAGAGAGUACAGAGGUUUACCUGGGGCAGAAGUUCUGAGGGUGGACUCUGGGCUGGAAAAGAUGGGGCUGUGCUCAUGAUAUCCUGGAUAAUUGUGUAUGGCAAAGUGCUGCGCCUCAGCUUUUCACACAGUGCCUCUGGACAUUGAAUCAGAAGACAAUGAUAUGUUCUCCCACCCUGGAGAAGCUCUGCCACCCCAUCCUCAGGAGCUUCCCCUCUGGGCUGUACUUUAAGCCACUCUGGGAAGAUGAGAAAAUUAAGAUCUUUUAUCAGCAAUGCCCACAGUCCCAUGACAUUAUUUGUGAGCGAUGACCUGAAUUUAUACUGUGCUUUUCACCUGCAGACCACUGGUCUACAAAAUGGGGGGGGGGAGUUUGUUUAGCAGAAACCGGAAUAAAGACUCCUCCCAGCAACUCCA
rnacentral:lncRNA from 1 species